rnacentral:rRNA from 1 species
GAUGAACGCUGGCGGCGUGCCUAACACAUGCAAGUCGAACGGAGUCCAGCCUUUAAGACCUUCGGGUCAAAGAGGGGAAGACUGAGUGGCGGACGGGUGAGUAACACGUGGGCAACCUGGCUCAUAGAGGGGGAUAACAGAGAGAAAUUUCUGCUAAUACCGCAUAAGCACACACUGCCGCAUGGCAGAGGGUGAAAAGAGAAUCGCUAUGAGAUGGACCCGCGUCUGAUUAGCCAGUUGGCAGGGUAAGAGCCUACCAAAGCGACGAUCAGUGGCCGAUCUGAGAGGAUGAACGGCCACAUUGGGACUGAGACACGGCCCAAACUCCUACGGGAGGCAGCAGUGGGGGAUAUUGCACAAUGGGGGGAACCCUGAUGCAGCGACGCCGCGUGAGUGAAGAAGUAUUUCGGUAUGUAAAGCUCUAUCAGCAGGGAAGAUAAUGACAGUACCUGAAUAAGAAGCCCCGGCUAACUACGUG